rnacentral:lncRNA from 1 species
UUCUCAUAUGUAUUAUUCCAGAAUUAUUCCUAAGGAUAUGUAUAUAAUAUUUUAAUUUUUAUUUUAUACAUGUUAGUAUAGGCAUAUACUUUUAAAACAUAAGAAUACUUUUAAAAAUAAGAUUAUUAUUAUUUUGGUAUAUGCAAUAAAUGAGCUAUUACUUAGCAAAGUUUGGGCAAGUAGAAAGCAUAUAGAAUUUUAUAGAAUGACAAUUCAGGAUCAUUUAAAAUUAGAUUAAUUAAACACAGAGAACUUCCAAUAAGAUAUUAAGCUUGUGUAAUAGACCCCAUCUUAAUAAAGUCUGCUACUGAUUUAUCUAAUAAUGCCUUCUAAUUCAUAGACAUUUCUUAUAUUGUUCUGUUGUGAGUACUUAUUUUAAAUGUUUUGUGAGAUAUUAAAAAUGCUUUCAGAUUGACGAAAGUGUUAUUUAUCCUCUUUAAAAUGCAGAGGUCAUCCAUAGCAGUAAGUUGACUGAGAGUCUAUAUACCAUUGCAGAAUCAUGAAGCAAAUAGUUUUUAUUGCAUUUGUUAAUUUGCUGUGGGGAAAACAAAAAGACAUAGUGAUAGGGAAUCCAUAAGAGCCAAGAUGACUGAGAAAAUAAUGAUUCUUGGUGUGCUCAAACUCUUUUUAACUAGAGGUAAUGUAGAUACAGGAGCUAGAUUACAAUAGAAAGAGUGAGAUUGAGUUGCAAAGUAUUUGCAAAGGAAAAGUACAUGGUAUACCCUGCAUAAUAUAGUGUUAUACUAGUAUAAUUGUAUAGUCUGUAUUAUGUUUACACAGUUAGAGUGAGAUAGAAAAAAUAGGAAGGGAGAAAGCCAGUGAAUUGAAAUAACAAUGAUCCUGCAAUGCUAAAUCAUUGAGAAAAAUAAAUCAUAAUUACACCAGCAUAUGAAGAGCACUAGCAGGCUGCAAAUGAUAAGGGUAGAAUAAGUUCGAUCUUUGGUUCAAUGUAUAAGGCAGGUAGAAAUUGAAAAUAAACAGAAAUAAUAAAGAAUGCUUUCUAUGCUUCAAGAACAAGUAGAUGAGAUUGCUUUCCUUUGAGAAAUAUUUUAUGUUGGUUCUGUCAUCAGCUAUGUCUGUUCUAUUUAAUACAUAUCACAUUUAUGCUAUUUUAACAACAUUUUUAUUCUGUUCGGUUUAGAGUGAUAUUUAAGUUUAGGUUAUGUCCACAAAGAAAUUCACGUUGAAGAAUUUACAUAUCAAUAUACCAGCCCUAUAGAGUGAGAGCUGUCCUAAUAUGUUACUCAGCUUUUGAUAGGUUGUGUUGCAUUGACAAAUUACCAUCAAAUAUAGUAUAUAUUUAUUUCUUACCACAUUACAUGUCUACAAUUCGUGCAUUUUCUGUGCAUUUACAUUCAUUCUUGAUUCCAGUUUAAAAGGUCACUAUGAAACAACAUUACAACUCUUAAAUCCUCCUUUCUAAUAAUCUAUUUUAUUGAUUAGAGACUGUUACACAGUAAGCCUUGAUAUCCAUGCCAUAUCCAUGUGGCAUCCCAUGGCAAGGCUCUGCAAAUAGCUAGAAAAUGGGUUGUAUGUAUCUAUAACCUUUUUAUGGGGAUAGGGAUUAAUUUGGGGACAAUAGUAAAAUGUGUUCUAUUUUUAAAUGAAAUAAUAUAAUUUACCACGUUAGUAGGUUUUGACAUGAGAGCAUCUAAUGCAAAGUUGGGGUUUUUUUCAAUUAAUUGUUAUAAAUUUAUUUGUUUCUGUUUGCUCCCCAACCCCCACCCGCCAUGGUAGUUUUUUAUUUUGGUUCAAUCUCACUUGAUUAUUUUUGUUUUGUUACCGGUGCUUUUGGUGUCACAUCAAAAAAAAAAAAAAAAUCAUUGCCAGUAGUUUUACUCUAACCAUGUGAUUGGGUGGGAGGUAAGAGAUAAUGGUGGAGCUGGGGAGAUUGGAAAAUGAUGCUGAUAAUUUCACUGACAAAACCACUGGAAAGGAGAAAGCAAAAGAAUUCACCAAGAAGGUGGGAAGACUUUUUUCAGGCUCACUUUGUUCUCUAAAGGGAAUCUUUGACAUAAAGAGUGGAUUGUUAGCAUCUGUGGUGCUGCCUGCUAGUUUAGGAUAAUCUACACUCUUUUUCUUCCAAAGUAAUCAGGUUGUCCCUGGGAAGUAACUGCCCAGUUAGGCAGCUGAAUUCCCAGCCUCUUCCAGGGUUAGACAAGCUGCAGGACUCCACUCUCUGAUGGAAUAUUUGUAGGUGUGAUACCUGCCAGUUUUGUGUCUGUUUCUAUAAAAAUUCCCAUGUGUGCGCCUUCAUACUUCCCCUCUCCACUUCACUGGUGUUGGAAAGAGAUGCUUAUUCUGUCUUUGAAAGCCACAUGUUGAAGAUGGAAGAGCUAUUGUAGCCUUUGUCUAUGGAUGCGGCAGAGCCUUCCCCAUUCCUAAGCCUCUUUCCUGUACUGUUACAGGAAAGAGAAAGAAAAUUCUAUGUGUUUGAGAACACUUAUAGGAUCUAUUUAUUAUAGGGAUUUACUUUCCCUAAUACAUUCUCCUUCUUAUAAAUUUUCUUCUUAGUCAUUAGUGAUAUUGCCUCUAAAACUUGCCUUUUCCCUGCUCGGUGUCUUCCUCUUGCCUACAGAAUAAAGUUAAAAUUCUUUAGAGCACCUUUUAAGCCCUUAUCAAAUAUUCUACAAUUCUGCCACUUUCAUAUUACACAUUCUAUAAAUAACAAAUACUACCUUAGUUUCUCUAAUACUCUGCAUUUUUCAGCUUCUGUGGCUUUGAUUAUUCUCUUCUUUCCAGUAAAGCAUCUCACUUUUUUGAAAACCUAUUGAUUCUUUAACUCUGCAUAUAUAUCUUGCAUAUAUUGUCCUCUGAAACCAAACAUUAAGAAUUAUUUGCUGCCACAGUGAAAAAAUUAAUAUCAUUUAUUGGCACAUGUCCUAUGUUAUAGGAAUUAGUGUAAUUUUCCUGCCUUAAGUAAUCUACUCCUAUAAAAGGACACUGUUUCCUCUUUAUCUAUAUAUUCUCCACACAGUAUCAAGUUUUCAAGUGCUUGCAUCUUUUAAUUGUAAAGACUAUCUUGAAAGUUAACCAGGGAAUUGAUGAAAAUUGAUUGGUAGAUUCUAUGCCAUCCAUUGGAUAUACUUUUGGUUAAAGUCCCUAAAGCGUAUAAAUAGAGAAAAUUGACUCAGAUUGCAUGUAAACACUGAUGGAUGAAGAUGACCUGUGAUGAAUUAGAAUAUUUUCUUGAAUUUUGAAAGACUAGGUGUUGCUAGAAUGAGAUGUUGUUUUAGGCAAUUAAACAUCUCCUCUUGUUAAGAACUUCAUCCAACUUUCAAGCAAUGGAUACCAUAUUUUCAUGCAAAAGGGAACAUACCCAUCCUGAGGGCGGAGGACUCCAUCAGUGAGAGGCAGAAUUUAUGUAUUAAAUACUGGUCUCUCUACUGACACAUAAAUUUCCCUUUUCUCAGCUCAAGUCAAAUAUCUCAAUGAUUUUGUCAGUUCAUCUGUGGUCAUGAAAGAUUUUGAUGGCAGAAUGUACCUAAGAUUUUCGUCAGUGAUUCAAGUUAUCUUAUGAUUAGUUAAGGAUAUUACUACUUUUUAAAAUAACUUAAGCAAUUGUUUUAUAAUUUCUUUGGGUUUUUAUUUCAUUUUUACUUGUAAAUUUUUUAAAGUAUUCAUAAGUUUUCCACAAAAUGACUUAAAGAGUAGAUAAUGAAAUAUGUUAGAAGAAAAAAUAGCCUCAUUGACUUUGUUUCACUAACACAUUUGUGGUUACAUGUCAAAAAUGGAACAGGAUUUAACUUUUUUGAAAAAUCUGGAUUGCUUUUGACAGACAUCUUUUCAUUAUACAUGAAUUGUUACCAAAAGCUCAUUGCUUUAGUUAAGUCUCUAUUUUCUUGAUAGUAACCAAAUAUAGCAUAUUCUACAAGAUAUUAAGAUAAGGAAAGAAUCAUGUAAUGAUUUUGGUUAUUCAGGGAAAUAACAGAGUAGGAACAUGUUUGUAAUCAACCGUGAUGGAUUUUUCAAAAUUGAGACAAGUUUUUCCAAACUGGAGGUCAUAUAUGGCGAAGACAAAGUUCUUCAUGACUUUUGAGUUAAAACUAGGACAAAAUAUCAUAGAUCUUAAAGUUUAUGAAAAUUGAUCACGUCAUCAAUAUGGAUUUGAAUUGUUAAUUCAAUACCAAUAUUGACCCUGUUCUAUUUCUUUUAAGAUUUCUGAAUAAAGGGAGAACACUCUAAUUUUGCACAAGUAAUUCUGGACUAAUUUAUCAAAUAGGAAGGGAGAAGGCCUUGCAUUUUGUGGCUCAUCUAAUAAUCUAUAAAUGAUCCUCUUGAUGCAUAGCUUUUAUAUGAGCUAUAUGCAGAUUAUUUUUAGGACUGUUGGGUCCAUCAUUAGCAUAUAUGUUUUACUUGUGUUUCUGAAAACAAACUAUGUUAUCCAACUCUUGGUUAAUUUAUUAAUUAAACUGGCUCAUUGAAAAUGUAAUCAAUGGAAAUCCUCUAAAACUGGAUUGUGAUGGUUAUUGUACACUAUAAAUGUAAUAAAUUCAUUGAGUAAUAAAAAUGUAAUCAAUGUAUAGUAUAUGUCAACAGUUUUCCUAGGUAUUAAGGAUAAAGACACGUAUGUAAAUAUUUAGUAUCUUUAAAAAAUCUAGGGAGGAAUGUAAUGUUCUAUCAGCCAUUAUCUUCAUAGAAAUAAAUGGCACAUUCAAAUUAAGAGUAUUCAAUUAAUUAAGAGAUAAAUUCAAAGGAUCAGGAAGAGUUUAGGUAAUCCAAAAAGAAUAGGGGAUAACUUGAAUUGGUAAGGAAUGUGGAUAUCUUUGUCACCCUUCAUCAUUAAAGAGCAAGAAGAGAGAGCAGUUGCCAAAUUUAAAUACAGAGAGGAUGGGCUGUUGUGGAGGUAGACACCUUACUGGUGCCAAAAUAUACCAGCCCUCUUGACUCUGUAAAUCAUUCCUCCUGCACUUAACCUCUGCCACCCAAUCUCCAACACUCAAUAGUUAAAGGUAACUAGAGACCAGAAGGUAAAGGUACUCACUGAAGUCUUUGAGGUCAGACUGAAGGACAAAGUGAAGGAAGGUGAAGAGAAAAUGGGAAAAAAAAAAAGCUAUCAAAAUGAUUAUAUCUAUUUCACAGAUGAGGAAACUAGAAAGUCAUAGCUGAUAAGUGACAGAGCCAGGAUUAAAGCAAAGUCUGCCUGAUUCCAGAGCCUUUUCUACUUUGCAACAACAAUGCCAGAAAAAUGACUUCUGCUUUUCCAUCUUACAGCAAUGUUGGGAAAAUGACUUCUGCUCUCAAGGGACUUGCAGUAUUGUAACAUGUUGAGG